rnacentral:lncRNA from 1 species
UUCUUCUUUCUUAUCAAUAAUUUGUUUUCAAAAUUAAAGAGAUUAAAUCUUCUGCGACUCCCGAGGCUGAAUCAGAGUGAUGCACUAUAGUCAUCUCUUUCAGUGGCAGAUUUGUUGAAGGCUGGUUUUGAAUUUACCAAAGUCUGGUCCAAUCAUUAUGAUUAAUACCCAUAUUAGCUCAUUUCACUUAUGAUUCGUCUUUGGUGUAGGACUGUAGAACAUAGAUUACUGUCAGAUUUGUAUGAGACAACUAUUUAAUACUGUUGCUAUAUUCGUUCUGGUCCGCUAUUGCGAGUCAUCAAGUCACUUUCUAUUACAUUUAAUUUCUUCGAAGGAAGAUAAACACACACUGUAUAUGCACCAUGAUAAACAUAUAAACACUGUAAGAAAGACUAGAGGUGGUCUGGUAUGAGUAUACAACUUCUAUAAUACGAGGCCGGUUAAAAUAUAUUUGAGCCCGUGUAUAAGCUGGGUACCUAUAUUUGCAUUGAAACUAAAAGCCCAUAUUAAAAAGAGGUCUAAUGGUAUAAAGACUGAUAAGGUAAAAACCCAUUAUUGGAGUCUUGGAGCAUCUUUAUCCCUAGAGUCCAUUAAAGACUCUUAAUCACUUGUUUAAUAAUAAAUUUAUGUUAAGAACUUUAGUUAAGAGAUACAAAAAUUUGUGUCUUCCAUUGCAAGUUUCUUUAAGUAAAAAUUCUUAAAAAAAAAUUGAAAGAAUUUGAGAAGGAAGAAAGAACUAGAAAAGGAACAUUUGAUCUUGUGAAUACACUUUUAUUAUCCAUAUCAUUUAUACAAGUUUCUGAUAAUACAACCUUUCUCUAAUUCAACGUACAAAGGCUAUACAUAUCACCUAACUUCAAAGUUUUGCAAUUCACCAAAAAACAAUUCAACAAGACCAACGUACUGUCUUAGUUCCCCUGCACAAAGAGUUCAAACCACCACCAUUGCUAUGUUAUUAAAGCUCCACUCUCAUGUAACACUAGAUAAUUACCUAUCACGCUGCUUAAGAACAUACCUCAAUUGUGUAGCUUGAAGGGUGGAUUUGCAGUGAUAACACUUGAAGCAAGACUUCUGAAAAGGGACACCAUCAGCUGAGAGAAGCUCCAUAGCGUACACUGUCUUCUCGCACGCCCUGCAUUUCUGCGGCGUUCCUGUAAACGACAUCGUAUUUUGGCUCUCUAGCUCACUACACACCAAAACAAAACCCUGUACACAUAUCAGAACCAGAACACAAAGACAAACCCCAUCAGUCCAUCAAACAUUCUUAACUUAUCGACAUUGACAAUGCUUAGCUGUUUGCAUCAAAUCAAGAUACUCAAACAAGAUGAAGCAGUAAAAAGACAUCAAAUUUUAACCGGACUGUAACAAAUAAUCAAAGGUUCUAGCCAUCACAUGCUAUUGCUAUCGCAUAUCAGGUCAGAUACUAGGAAACGAUUGAAGAAAUACUAUACAUGAACUUGAUCGGUGGUGCUUGUGAGAUUUAUUUUCCUUCUUCUAACUUCUCCUCUCAUCUUCUUUCUCUGUUCCUCUUAACUUUUUCUUCGCCUGCCCAUUCAUAAAGACACAAACUUGAACCUACAGUCUCAAUCUAAAAAAUCAUGUCAUCCACAAACACAACGAUUCAACACUAAGUAAAAGUUUCGACCUUUCAACCGACUCAAAACUACCAAUUAAAAACUGAGUAUGAUCUUUCACUUACAAACGGAGCAAUUCAACAAAGCCCUAGAUUUUAUGGGGAAACAAAAGAGAAAGUAUUAUCAAAAAGAGAAGAGAGUACAUACUCUCGGAAGAAGAAGGAUCUUCGCUCCGUGCUCUGCUUCUCUUCUUCUCCAUUAUCCAUUUAUCCUUCCCUCCUCCUCUCUAUUGAUUCAAGGAAAACAUCAGAGAGAGCAUUGAUUCAAUUGAAACAUACAAUACCCCAAAGGGCCUCUCUGCUUGUACUUCCAAUCAUGAGUAUUAUCAAUCAAAAGUGAGGAAGAGAGAAGACGAUUCAUCUGAUGCUGGGAAGCUGACGAGAGAUUCCAGAGGAAGCAAGAGAGAACGACGUGUGUCUACAAGAGUCGCCUCUUCUGUCUCUUGAUUAAGAGACAUCUUUUAAGAUAAUUGUCUUUUUUUUUUUUAAUUUUAAUAAUAACUAAGAGACGGGGUAAGAGGCCCGUUAAUGAUGCUCUUACUACCUAAAAAUAUCAGGUGACCUUUUCUAAAGGUUCAUUUGCUUAUAUAUUCUUUUUACUCCGGACAAGUUAAUUUUCCUGCAAAUUAUAAAGAAUUUCAAGACUUAAAUUGUACAAAUAACUAUCAGUAAAAUAAAAAUUCAUACUAAUUUUCUGACAUACGUGCACGCAAAAUAAAGUUCUAGACUUGCAAAGCAAUGUGAUAAAUGGAAAUCUUUCACAUAACCAAAACAACUAUAUAUCUCGUUUAGGUGCUCUAGUAUAUAUAACAUGAUUUCACAGGACAUGUGGAACGAGGAUUUCAAUCCAGUUAACCAUAUAACUACUAUCCAACCAAAAAUCACGCCAAUGAUAUUGAGUGCAUUCUUAUAUCUAUCAACCGAUUAAAUAACUAAAGAUAAGCAAACACACAUCUCAUGCUGUCUUUGUUUUUUUUUAUGUCUCAUCCCUUUUCAAAGUUCAUGAAUAACACUAGCUUAUAAUAUACGGAUAUUGAAAUCCUCUCUCCUCUCUUUCACAGAGGUUUCUCUCUAUCGUCCUUGUUCUCUAAUUAGAUCUUUCACAAGGAAUAGAGUUUUGAGAGAUUUCUGCCUGGUUUUCGUUUCCGGUGACGCAUCUUCUCCCUCGGUGGUCGGUCGGCUCUGUUUCCGGGUAGAGGUGGCUCGUUCAGCACCAGCUUCGCCGGCUCUGUUUCCGGGAAUAGAUGAUUCUAUUUCAUCGUCUUCGCCGGUUUUUCACCGGAGUUCUUCCGGUUUCGUUUGAUUGUUGCCUCCUGUUCUUCGAUCUACCACCGACUCUCGAUUUGAUCCUCUGUCGCAGUGAUUAGAUUGAUUGAAGACGGCGGUUAUCUUUCAUGAAGUGAUGAUCCGGUUGUGUCUUGGCCAUCUGAAGACUGCUCAGUUGGUCUUUCACUGAUUUAUCUCCGCCGAUGGCGGAGUUUCGGCGUGGCUUCCGGAGGAGGUGAAGACUCUCUCUUGACGCGUGUUCUCAGAAUCGUUCGUCGAUUGUACACGUGAUGGACGGAUGUUGCUUUGCUUCCUCGACGGUGUAAUCGCCUACGGUUUCCAGAGAUGAGUUGCAUGUUCCCUCCGGCGAUGGAGGAAGGAAAAGGGAUUUGGCGACACGUGUGCCUCGCAGUUGAGGUCUCAACACGUGUGCCGUGUGUUGGCGUUUUGGGGCGGUGGCCUCUUGUUUGGGUUUUUUUGGGCCGAGAUUUUGGAGGUUACUUUGGAUGGGUGUUAGGUUUUGGGCCUGUCUUGGGCUUCCGUUGUAAUGGUUUCGGGCUUGGUCCAGUUUGGACUUUGUUUCUUAUAAUAAUAGAUGAAAAAAAAAAAAACACUAGCUUAUAAUAUAAGAAACUCUCUAUAAUUGAAGGUUUCUUUUUUUUUUUUUUUGCUUUAUUAUUUGGUUAAUUAUUGCGUAGGUAUUAUUUUGUAAGAAGAAAAGCAAGGUCUGCUUAUCUGUUGCACGUGGCAUAUAAGGACAACCACAGAUCACGUUGCUUCGUUAGCUACUGUACAAAAAGCUGGAGAGCAGUCACGUUCGUUCGCCUACUUUCGUUGAAUCUAAAAUUAUUCACGUCAACGCUAUUCAUAUAUGCUUUCAUUUAGAUGCCAUCUCCACCUUUCUCUAUGCAUUUUUACACUUUGAAAACCUAAAAUAAUGGAGUUUCCAUUUUCGUAGCAAUAUGUUUUGCAGAAUGUGCUACAUGCUUCAU